rnacentral:antisense_RNA from 1 species
GCACAGUAAUAGAGUAACACAAUAAUAAAAUAGAACAAUUAUAACAAUACGCCAGCGUCGCUUCUCUUCUGCUUUGGGGCCAUUAUUCAUUAAAGUAAGGGUGACGUGAACCCAAGCACCAUAAUACCACUGCAGUCGAGCUGGUAACCAAGACGAAGUGACUAACGGGCAGGCAGCAUGGAUGAUUCACAUCCCAGGUGGGAUGGAGCAGGAUGUGUAAGAUUUCAUCAAUCUCACUCAAAACGGCUACUCAAAACAGCAUGCAACUUAACACUUAUAAAAUAUUUAUUUCUGGAAUUUUCCAUUUAAUAUUUUCAGACUGCAGUUGACAGCAGAUAACUGAAAGCUUGGAAAGUGAAACCGUGGAUAAGCAGGGGAACUGUGGCAUCCCAUUUAAAAUUGCUUCUGAAGAGAAGCAUGAGGUUACAUCUGUAAUCUCCCUGCAGCAGAGUCAACUGCAUAAGAAACCAAAAGACACAUCUGCUCCAUGCCAGCCUAAGCCACCACAUAAAAAGUCAGACCAUCUGCUGGAAGAACCACAUGGAGAGGCCCUGAGUCGACAUGGAGAGGAAGAAGGACUUGAUUGAAUCCAGCCUUCCAGCUGUCCCUACCAAGGUGCCAGGCACGAGAAUGAAGCUGUCUUGGACUCUGAAGACCAGCUUAGCCACCAGGUAAAUGCCACUAAGUGACCUCACUCAAUGUCAUGUGGGAUGGAAGAAUCACCCAGCCAAACCCUUCCUGGAUCCCUGACCCAGAAAUUUGUCAGAUGUAAUGGUUGUGUAAAGCCACUCAAUUUGGGGGCAGUUUGUAUGCAGCAUAGCUAGCUGGUAUGAUACAACAGCCUGCAAUUCAGGCAGCAGCAGCACUAACAACCAUGAAAUCCUGCAGGAGCGAACUCCUUUGGGGU